GGAAGUAAAAGUCGUAACAAAGUUUCCGUAGGUGAACCUGCGGAAGGAUCAUUAAUGUGUUUGGGCCUCACGGCUCUUCAUUCCGACGCUGUGCGCCUUCGGGCUGCACGCUGAGGGAGCAUAUAUCCACCCCUGUGCACACACACGGUGGCGAGCUGGGUAACGGCUCGCCGCUGAUCUUUACACACGCCUAAAAGUCAUUGUAUGUUUAUUUGAGAUAAAAACACAACUUUCAACAGCGGAUCUCUUGGCUCUG
rnacentral:misc_RNA from 1 species